UUAUUAUGAGAGUUUGAUCCUGGCUCAGGACGAACGCUGGCGGCGUGCCUAAUACAUGCAAGUCGAACGCUUCUUUCCUCCCGAGUGCUUGCACUCAAUUGGAAAGAGGAGUGGCGGACGGGUGAGUAACACGUGGGUAACCUACCCAUCAGAGGGGGAUAACACUUGGAAACAGGUGCUAAUACCGCAUAACAGUUUAUGCCGCAUGGCAUAAGAGUGAAAGGCGCUUUCGGGUGUCACUGAUGGAUGGACCCGCGGUGCAUUAGCUAGUUGGUGAGGUAACGGCUCACCAAGGCCACGAUGCAUAGCCGACCUGAGAGGGUGAUCGGCCACACUGGGACUGAGACACGGCCCAGACUCCUACGG
rnacentral:rRNA from 1 species